GCAAGUAUAGAUGUGUAGAUAUGAAUACCUAGAAAAAUGAAUCUUUUCAAAUUCGCAAGUUCUCAACUACAUUCGUGGAUGAAUCUAAUCUCUACUUAUAAAUCUAACUAAUAUCAGAAUGUAAUAACUUUCAUUCAAGCAAUUUAAAAUAAAUACCUAUUGCAUACAAAAAAUUUAAUGUAAAAUAUCCAUGAAAAACUCAGGUAACUACUAGGGAAGUUGCCUUAAUGUGAAAUCAAAGCAGAUGAAAAUUCUCAUGUCUGAUGUUAUGAUGGAGCCCAUUCUUGUGAUUAAGAAGAAAUGACUUGACCAGCUUUGAAAAUUACUAAGUAACAAAGCAUGUUGAUAGCAGGAUACUAAUUGCUGUCAUUUUAGACACAAGAGAACAAUUGUAGAUAAAUCAGAUUUGUAAGAAAAUCUGGCCUAAGAUAUGCUAAAGACAGUCAAAGGUAUACUUCCCAUAAUAAUUCAAAGAGCAUUAGUAAGUCAAUUUCAGUUCAUCUUUAGUUCAUCCUUAGUUCAUCCUAGUGACUUGAAGGUUUACACAGAAGAAGAUUGUGUACUAAAUGCUACUUAGACUAGGAGUUCCCAAUUCAUCUACAUGCAUGUACAUUGUUUGAAAUUGUCCAUAUAACUCAAUGGCCAUGCUAAUAACUUGGCUCGUAGGAUAUGACUUUUAUGUAACUAAGGGUUAGAAGACUACUGUGCGGAGAAAGCCUGACCUCAAAUUCUGCCUUCUCCUUUU
rnacentral:misc_RNA from 1 species